rnacentral:rRNA from 1 species
AUGGAGGCGCUGCAAUGGAUCUUCUCUGUUGGAGCCAGCUUCGCUGAGGCGAUCCAGCUGAGCGGUGAGCUGUCCCACCUUCGUAUCAGCUUGCCCAGGGCCCAUGUCCUCCUCGACCAUGCUGAGUGGGGCAGGUUCAAGCACAAAGGCCUGAUGAAACUGCAUUUGCAUCUCAAGGACACCAUCUAUGAUUGUGAGGACCUUCUCCGUGAGUUUGAUGACCAGAUGCUGCGACUGAAGAUGGAUGACAGUGACCGGAGCAGGGUAGGUCAACUCGUUUCUUCCUCUUUUGGUAUUGCAAAGAAUUUGAUCAGCGGUAGCAAAACAAGGGUAAAGGAUGCCCAGAGGAAGCUCGACAAGGUUUUGGCUGAGAUAGAGGGGGUGCUGAGUCUCAAGGGUCUUAAUGUUGAUCCCGUUCAGCCCGGCAAGCAGUACAUGCCGGACACGACUUCAGUGAUAGUCGUGCCUCAAGUAUACGGUCGUGACGAAGAACGAGAUCUAGUUAUUCAGAUGCUUGGUGUGCCACUCAGCAGAUCUGCAAAGGCUGCUGGAAAGAAAGCAACACUGGGCAUGGGUGCAGUUGCAUCCACAUCUAGAGCUGCUAAGCGAUUAAAAGGAGAGAGUAACAGGGGUGCUUCUUCCAAGGUGACCAAUGACUGCACUGAGUAUGCUCCUGUCUUGCCGAUCAUUGGAAUUGGCGGGGUGGGGAAGACUACCUUGGCUCAGUUCAUCUACAAUGAUAGAAGGGUUAAAAGCCACUUUGACGUAAGAGUUUGGGUCUGUGUUUCUGAUUUUUUUGACAAGAGAAAAAUAACAAAAGAUAUCAUCGAAUCCGUCACUAGGCAAGAAUUCAAAUUUUCAGGCAGUUUGGAUGCUCUUCAACUGGAACUGAAGGAGAGGCUGAUAAACCAAAAGUUUAUGUUGGUGUUGGACGAUGUGUGGCCGAAUGCUAUCAAUGAAUGGGAAGCAUUCUAUGCACGAUUCAGAACUGGACUUACUGGCAGCAUGGUCUUGCUAACCACAAGAUCUCCCAAGGUUGCAAACUUUGUCAGCAAUAUUAUUCCUGUUGAACUCAAAGGCCUACCUACUGAUAUAUUUUGGGAUUUUUUCAGCAAGUGUGCAUUCGGUAAGCAUGACCCAAAGUCAUACCCUGAGUUGCAAGACAUUGGUCACAGCAUUGCUGAUAGGUUGUGCGGCUCUCCUCUAGCUGCGAAAACACUGGGACGCUUGUUGAAUGGCAAUUUGACUGAGCGACAUUGGAGAGACAUCCUGAACAACGAACUGUGGCAGCUAUCAUAUGAGGAGAAUGAGAUAUUACCGGCCCUUCAACUAAGUUACUUGUAUCUCCCAUGGGAACUAAAGAGAUGCUUUGCUGUUUGUUCUAUAUUUCCGAGAGAUUAUAGCUUUAAAAGAGAUGAGAUAGUUGCAUUUUGGGUGGCACUGUGCUUUGUUGAAACCGACGGGAGCAUGCGCCUUGAAGAUAUGGGGUAUCGACAUCUGGAUGAUUUAAGAAGCAGGUUCCUUUUUCAGAUUGAUCCCAAGUUCCCUAAUGAACAUAGAUAUGUCAUGCAUGAUUUGAUCCAUGACAUGGCACAGUUUGUUUCUGUGGGUGAGUGCUUCCUGAUGCAAGGUUUGAGCUACAAGGACCUUCAUAGACAAGUUCAGACAGUUCGCCAUAUGUCAAUCGAGGUGGAUAAUGAAGCUCUGAGCAGAAUAGGAGGCAUUCCACAUUUGAACAAAAUGCAUUCUCUUAGGAUCGGAAUGACACUCAAGGCUGAGGUUUCAUGGUUCAACCAUCUUCCCAACAUUCUCUUUCUGAGCCUGAAGGGUUGCAAGCAUCUGGUAAAGCUACCUGAAAGCAUUUGAUGUGACAAAGCUAGUUAA